rnacentral:rRNA from 1 species
CCCUUGUACACACCGCCCGUCACACCACGAAAGUUGGUAACACCCGAAGCCAGUGGCCUAACCGCAAGGAGGGAGCUGUCGAAGGUGGGAUCAGCGAUUGGGGUG